AGUGAACGCUGGCGGUAGGCCUAACACAUGCAAGUCGAACGGCAGCACAGUAAGAGCUCGCUCUUACGGGUGGCGAGUGGCGGACGGGUGAGGAAUACAUCGGAAUCUACCUUUUCGUGGGGGAUAACGUAGGGAAACUUACGCUAAUACCGCAUACGACCUACGGGUGAAAGCAGGGGAUCUUCGGACCUUGCGCGAUUGAAUGAGCCGAUGUCGGAUUAGCUAGUUGGCGGGGUAAAGGCCCACCAAGGCGACGAUCCGUAGCUGGUCUGAGAGGAUGAUCAGCCACACUGGAACUGAGACACGGUCCAGACUCCUACGGGAGGCAGCAGUGGGGAAUAUUGGACAAUGGGCGCAAGCCUGAUCCAGCCAUACCGCGUGGGUGAAGAAGGCCUUCGGGUUGUAAAGCCCUUUUGUUGGGAAAGAAAAGCAGCAGGUUAAUACCCCGCUGUUCUGACGGUACCCAAAGAAUAAGCACCGGCUAACUUCGUG
rnacentral:rRNA from 1 species